AAAUUCUUAGCCCUAAAAAUUAAACUCUUAACAAUAAAAAAAAAAUUACAUUAGAAAUCAUUUUUAGGGCAUUUGAGGGUAUUUCUCUUUUUUUUUUUUGUGGUUUCUUUGGAACAUAAAUUUGUAUUUUGUUGUGAUAUAUAUGUUUGGACAACAUUAUUGAUCAUAUUUUUAGAUUAAGAAAAUAAUAAUAAUUUGGUGAUGUUUUAGGGUAUUUCUA
rnacentral:lncRNA from 1 species